CUGACCAGCGACGCCGCGUGGGGGAAGAAGGCCUUCGGGUCGUAAACCCCUUUUGCCGGGGAAGAAGCUCUGACGGUACCCGGCGAAUAAGCCACGGCUAACUACGUGCCAGCAGCCGCGGUAAUAA
rnacentral:rRNA from 1 species